rfam:Triticum aestivum genome assembly, contig: Triticum_aestivum_CS42_TGACv1_scaffold_060696_1BS
GGAUGCGAUCAUACCAGCACUAAAGCACCGGAUCCCAUCAGAACUCCGAGGUUAAGCAUGCUUGGGCGAGAGUAGUACUAGGAUGGGUGACCUCCUGGGAAGUCCUCGUGUUGCAUUCG